rnacentral:rRNA from 1 species
CCCUUAGAUGUCCUGGGCCGCACGCGCGCUACACUGAGUGUCUGAGAUACGAGUCUGCCUGGUCCGGCAAGGUCUAGGUAAUCGCUAAAAGACACAUCAUGCUUGGGAUAGAUUAUUGCAAAUAUUAAUCUUGAACGAGGAAUUCCUAGUAAACGCAAGUCAUCAGCUUGCAUUGAUUACGUCCCUGCCCUUUGUACACACCGCCCGUCGACUCUACCGAUUGAAUGGUUCGGUGAAAACUUUGGACUGUGGCAUUGUCCUUCAUUGGACUUCGCCGUAGGAAAUUGUUUAAACCUCAUCAUUUAGAGGAAGAAUAAGUCGUAACA